rnacentral:rRNA from 1 species
GACGAACGCUGGCGGCGCGCCUAACACAUGCAAGUCGAACGAGCGAGAGAAAGCUUGCUUUCUCGAGCGAGUGGCGAACGGGUGAGUAACGCGUGAGGAACCUGCCUCAAAGAGGGGGACAACAGUUGGAAACGACUGCUAAUACCGCAUAAGCCCACGGCUCGGCAUCGAGCAGAGGGAAAAGGAGCAAUCCGCUUUGAGAUGGCCUCGCGUCCGAUUAGCUAGUUGGUGAGGUAACGGCCCACCAAGGCAACGAUCGGUAGCCGGACUGAGAGGUUGAACGGCCACAUUGGGACUGAGACACGGCCCAGACUCCUACGGGAGGCAGCAGUGGGGAAUAUUGCACAAUGGGGGAAACCCUGAUGCAGCGACGCCGCGUGGAGGAAGAAGGUCUUCGGAUUGUAAACUCCUGUUGUUGGGGAAGAUAAUGACGGUACCCAACAAGGAAGUGA